rnacentral:rRNA from 1 species
UACAGAGGUCUCAAGCGUUGUUCGGAUUCAUUGGGCGUAAAGGGUGCGUAGGUGGCGCCGUAAGUCAGGUGUGAAAUUUCGGAGCUUAACUCCGAGACUGCAUUUGAUACUGCGGUGCUUGAGGACUGGAGAGGAGACUGGAAUUUACGGUGUAGCAGUGAAAUGCGUAGAGAUCGUAAGGAAGACCAGUGGCGAAGGCGGGUCUCUGGACAGUUCCUGACGCUGAGGCACGAAGGUCAGGGGAGCAAACGGG